GCUUCCUUGGUGUAGUCGGUUAUCACGUCGGUCUCAUAUCCCCCACCUCAGCGUGGAGUCAUGAUUGCUCAUUGAGCAAGUAAUCCGAAGGCCGCCAGUUCGAAUCUGGCAGGGAGCA